rnacentral:rRNA from 1 species
AGCCAAGUCGUGAGGCGGAGCUAAUCCCUUUAAAGCCAUUCUCAGUUCGGAUUGUAGGCUGAAACUCGCCUACAUGAAGCUGGAGUUACUAGUAAUCGCAGAUCAGAAUGCUGCGGUGAAUGCGUUCCCGGGUCUUGUACACACCGCCCGUCACACCACGGAAGUUGGGGGCGCCCGAAGCCACUUAGCUAACCCUUUUGGGAAGCGAGUGUCGAAGGUGAAAUCAAUAACUGGGGUGAAGUCGUAACAAGGUAAC